UACAGAGACUGCAAGCGUUAUUCGGAUUUACUGGGCGUAAAGGGUGCGCAGGCGGUCGUGUGUGUCAGGUGUGAAAUCCCGGAGCUUAACUCCGGAACUGCGCCUGAAACUACAUGACUAGAGCAUUGGAGAGGGAAGUGGAAUUCAUGGUGUAGCAGUGAAAUGCGUAGAUAUCAUGAGGAACACCAGAGGCGAAGGCGACUUCCUGGACAAUUGCUGACGCUCAGGCACGAAAGCAUGGGGAGCAAAAGGG
rnacentral:rRNA from 1 species